UUUAUUAUAUAAUACUCUAAUUUACAACAAUUCUAUGCAAUAGAGGUUGUACAUUUUGCUUCCAAUGUUGUAUGGUGGUUUUGAGAAAACGGUAUGCUACUGCUGCUGGGCUGUUUGUGUCCUAUGCUUCUCUAUCAUCACUUCACCCUCAUCAACACUCCGACACCACCCUUUCACCCUACAUCAGCCAAAAUACUCAUCCCUUCCCUUCCUCCUCUUAUAUCAGGCUCAAAAUUGACAUUAGGGUUAAGUGAUAUUGGUGUUUCUUUGUAGUUUGUGGACACAUUACUUUUCUUUUAAGCACAUCCACCAACAAUCUCUUAUAUGCCUCUUAUAUCAGGCUCAAAAUUGACAUUAGGGUUUUAGUGAUAUUAGUGUUUCUUUGUAGUUUGUGGACACAUUGCUUUUCUUUUAAGAACAUCCACCAACGAUCUCUUAUAUGCGAUACAAAACACCGGCGAAGGAGAGAGAGAACCAUGUUUGAAGAGAUAGAGCGCCACGAGAGUAGAUAUAGAAAGAGGGAGCCAUCGAUCGACGAUUAAGAAGGUCACAGCGGUGGUUCUGUUUCUGCCGAUGGCGGUGACUUCAAGAAACGAAGACCCGAUUAGGGUUCAAGCGAUAUUCCGGCUAUCCCUUUUUACACUGGAGCACCAGGGCAACCGGAUAAAUAUUCUCUCGUACAACGCAAGCAUUGUUCUAUAACUAUAAGCAAUUGCCGAUUCAACGGAUGCUUGAUUUUGACUUCCUUUGUGGGAGGGAAACACCUUCAGUUGCUGGAAUCAUCAACCCAGUUUCUGAGGGAUUUUAGAAAUUAUUUUUUGGCCAAGAGGAAAUCGCCAUACCAGUACAUUCAACCAUUGAAGCAGCUUGUGCUGCCCAUCCUAUUGCUGAUGUAUUCAUAAACUUUGCAUCAUUCCGAAGGCUAGUUCUAAGUUAAUUUAAAACCUUUAUUAUGUUAAUUUACGAUUAUUGAUAUUUUGGAAACGUAUACAGUACUGCUGCUUCAUCGAAACUUGCUCUCAAACAGCCUACAAUCAGAGUUGUGGCUAUUAUUGUCGAGGGUGUUCCGGAUUCAGACACCAAGGAGUUAAUUUCGUACGCGAGGUAGUUAUUGGGCCCGCAACGGUUGGUGUACGUGCGCGCUCGAUUGAAUAUGUCAUAUAUUACUAUUACAAAGCUUGCGUAUCAUCAGUUACAACAAUUAUGGCAGGAAGAAGAAACAACUUAGGUGACUUUCAUUUCACUUGGAUGUUGUGCUAAUAUGCCUUUGCUGGAUGUUACUGCUGUAUGAUUUAGUUUAUUAUAUUUCUUUUCCUUUUUGCUUCCCUUGGUGUAUUGUGGCGAGCCUCUGGCUUGUAGUUUUUUUAUGGGUUAAAAAAAUGGUGUUUUGUUUGCCAAA